GUGCUUGCACCGAGCGGAAGAGUUGCGAACGGGUGAGUAACGCGUAGGUAACCUGCCUCUUAGCGGGGGAUAACUAUUGGAAACGAUAGCUAAUACCGCAUAAAAGUCGGCAUUGCAUGAUGUUGACUUGAAAGGUGCAACUGCAUCACUAAGAGAUGGACCUGCGUUGUAUUAGCUAGUUGGUGAGGUAACGGCUCACCAAGGCGACGAUACAUAGCCGACCUGAGAGGGUGAUCGGCCACACUGGGACUGAGACACGGCCCAGACUCCUACGGGAGGCAGCAGUAGGGAAUCUUCGGCAAUGGACGGAAGUCUGACCGAGCAACGCCGCGUGAGUGAAGAAGGUUUUCGGAUCGUAAAGCUCUGUUGUAAGAGAAGAACGAGUGUGAGAGUGGAAAGUUCACACUGUGACGGUAACUUACCAGAAAGGGACGGCUAACUACGUGCCAGCAGCCGCGGUAAUACGUAGGUCCCGAGCGUUAUCCGGAUUUAUUGGGCGUAAAGCGAGCGCAGGCGGUUAGAUAAGUCUGAAGUUAAAGGCUGUGGCUUAACCAUAGUACGCUUUGGAAACUGUUUAACUUGAGUGCAGAAGGGGAGAGUGGAAUUCCAUGUGUAGCGGUGAAAUGCGUAGAUAUAUGGAGGAACACCGGUGGCGAAAGCGGCUCUCUGGUCGGUAACUGACGCUGAGGCU
rnacentral:rRNA from 1 species